rnacentral:rRNA from 1 species
GAUGAACGCUAGCGGCAGGCCUAACACAUGCAAGUCGAGGGGGAGGUUACUUUCGGGUAACUGAGACCGGCGUACGGGUGCGUAACGCGUAUACAAUCUGCCUUUCACUGGGGGAUAGCCCGAAGAAAUUUGGAUUAAUACCCCAUAGUAUAGUAAUACGGCAUCGUGAUGCUAUUAAAGCUUAGGUGGUGAAAGAUGAGUAUGCGUUCUAUUAGCUAGUUGGAGAGGUAACGGCUCCCCAAGGCGAUGAUAGAUGGGGGUUCUGAGAGGGAUGUCCCCCACACUGGUACUGAGAUACGGACCAGACUCCUACGGGAGGCAGCAGUGAGGAAUAUUGGACAAUGGUCGGAAGACUGAUCCAGCCAUGCCGCGUGCAGGAUGAAGGUCUUAUGGAUUGUAAACUGCUUUUGUAAGGGAAGAAUAAGGGCUACGCGUAGUUUGAUGACGGUACCUUACGAAUAAGCAUCGGCUAACUCCGUG